UACGUAGGGGGCAAGCGUUGUCCGGAUUUAUUGGGCGUAAAGAGCGUGUAGGCGGUCAGGUAGGUCCGUUGUGAAAACUCGAGGCUCAACCUCGAGACGCCGAUGGAAACCAUCUGACUAGAGUCCGGAAGAGGAGAGUGGAAUUCCUGGUGUAGCGGUGAAAUGCGCAGAUAUCAGGAAGAACACCCGUGGCUAAGGCGGCUCUCUAGUACGGUACUGACGCUGAGGCACGAAGGCCAGGGGAGCAAACGGG
rnacentral:rRNA from 1 species